rnacentral:misc_RNA from 1 species
UCCGGCUUGACGCCGGCAGUCCCCCGACAGCCAUGCAGCACCUGUGCUGGCUGCCCUUGCGGGCUCAUUACCGUUUCCGGUUCUUACUACCAGCAUGUCAAACCUGGGUAAGGUUUUUCGCGUUGCGUCGAAUUAAACCACAUGCACCACCGCUUGUGCGGGCCCCCGUCAAUUCCUUUGAGUUUCAACCUUGCGGCCGUACUCCCCAGGCGGGGAACUUACUCCGUUAGGUGCGGCACCGGCGGUAACCCGCCGACACUUAGUUCCCAUCGUUUAGGGCGUGGACUAC